GACGAACGCUGGCGGCGUGCUUAACACAUGCAAGUCGAACGGAAAGGCCCUGCUUGCAGGGUACUCGAGUGGCGAACGGGUGAGUAACACGUGGGUGAUCUGCCCUGCACUUCGGGAUAAGCCUGGGAAACUGGGUCUAAUACCGGAUAGGAGCCAUUUUUAGUGUGAUGGUUGGAAAGUUUUUUCGGUGUAGGAUGAGCUCGCGGCCUAUCAGCUUGUUGGUGGGGUAAUGGCCUACCAAGGCGGCGACGGGUAGCCGGCCUGAGAGGGUGGACGGCCACAUUGGGACCGAGAGACGGCCCAGACUCCUACGGGAGGCAGCAGUGGGGAAUAUUGCACAAUGGGCGCAAGCCUGAUGCAGCGACGCCGCGUGGGGGAUGACGGCCUUCGGGUUGUAAACUCCUUUCGCUAGGGACGAAGCUUUUUGUGACGGUACCUAGAUAAGAAGCACCGGCUAACUACGUG
rnacentral:rRNA from 1 species